rnacentral:tRNA from 1 species
AAGUAAGGUGGCAGAAAAGUGCUUCAGAUUUAAGCUCUGACUAUGGAGUUUUACUUCCCUUCCU